CCCGGGAGUGGUUAAGUAUGGCAUUCCUGAGAACAUCCUUUCUGGGGCAUCUUGUCCCCACCCCCACCUCCUGGUCUUAGGUGUCAUACUACCAGGAAAUGAAUCUGGGUUAGCUUCUCCUGAGCCACGAAGGUCCGCAUGGCAUCUGCCAGUUUGGCCACAAGUCGCUCUCGUAUGGAACCUGGUUCAUGCUGGGGAGAAGAGGGACGGGGUGGAAUGAGUAUGGACUGAGCUAUGCCGUCUGCAAAAAUAGGAAAGGGACAGAAAGAGCGAGAAGUCUUUGUGCCCCACCACCAUGCUACCAUGCCACCAUGCUACUGAGCGCAAAACUGUAGGCAGACUGCCUCUUCCUCCAGGUAUAUGGCUGUGCACAGAUGGGAGUCAGAGGACCACUUGCCAGAAUAGGUGCUUUCCGUCAUCCACACGGGUUCUGAGAAGUGAACUCGGGCUGGCAUGCUUGGCAGCAAGUACCCUUACCUGCCGAGCCACCUCAACUGCCCCUCAAAGCACCAUCUUUAUGUUUGGAAACUGAAGCUCAAAGAUGGGAAGUGGUUUGCUGCUGAAGGAGGAGACUCAGAACAGCACCUCUAGCCUCCCAACCUCCAUCCCCAGGCUACUGAGCCCACUACCUUCUGCUCUGUCCAGUUCUCCCAUUUCAGGUAGUCCCAGGCCAAUAACUGGUCCCAGAAAUCCAGCCAGCCAGGGCUCCGGGUGUAGAGCUGUGCAGGAUACCAUGUAACCCAAGCUGGCCUGGAAUUUGGUAUGUAGUCAAGGAAAACUUUAAAACUUCUGAUUCUCUUGCCUCCAUCUACUGAGCGCUGAGAUUGCAGAUGAGCACCACUACAGUUGGUUUAUGUGGUACUGGGAACCAAACCAGGGCUUUGUGUACGCUAGGCAAGCACUCCAGAUAUAUGUAUAUGUAUGUAUGUAUAUAUGU